rnacentral:lncRNA from 1 species
UUAUCAGGCCCAAGUUGUAAGACUAUACUUGGGUUUAUUGUACAUGCAAUAUCAAUUCAAAAGCUGUCUUUUACCAGAAUCUUGCAGCACAUAACAGUAAAAAUUGAACUCAUUUAUUUUCCUCUUCACUGUUGGUCUUUCUCAUGGUUCCAAUUUCUGCUGACAUGUUUUGUUCAUAGAUGAGCUGAGAAAUCAAAGCCACAAGAAUUGCUCCAAAAACUGCCACUUUUCUCCAAUCAGUUGAUGGUGAGGCAAUAGUAUAAACUACGGUAAAGAUCAGCAGGCCAAUGAAUAAGCGGUAAACGUUUUUCCUGAUUGUGCUACCAGCUUUUUCUCUGAUUACAUCUUUAAUUUUUUCUGCCUCUUCUUUGGCUUUGGCUUUAUCAACAACAGGUACCUUCUUUCUGAGGUUCUUAAAGAAUAGCCCUUCGUUUCUUCCGUUUUCCAUUUGAACUUCGAACUCCUCUAACUCGUUUUCACGCACUUGAAUCUCUUGUCUGUUAAAUUCUGCAGAUUCCUCGAAUUCUAGCAUCUGGCUCUCUAUGUUCGCUGUUAUCUGUUAAAUACAAGUGAAUAUAAGAGGUCACUGUCACUAUUUUUCUACAUUUUACAUAGUUAGUUCAAAAGUGGAAGCAUACUCUGGCAUCAGCUUCAUCUAAUCCUUUGAGUGCAUCUUCUCCAAUCUUUUCGAACUCAGCGUUGAUUUUUUCACCGAAUUGGGUUAAAUACGCAGAUCUCUCAUCUAUAUAAUCUGUAAGACGGACUUUUCGAGUUUGAAGCAUGACGAUUUGGGCUAGUAGUUCUUGUUUAUGAGUAUCUCCUGGUUGAGAAGCUUGAGAAUCAGACUCAUUGGACUUGCUGAGGCACAAAAUUGAACUUCUUGUGUUGCGGAGUUUUGUGCAGUGGACAUUAUACUUUAUGUUGGUAUGUCUGAAGGAAGGAUGUAUGAAUUUGAGAGCAUUCAUCUUCUCUUAGGAUUGUAAGUAGGUAUUAGCAAUGGUUCUAAUGAAAAACAAGUAUAUUGAACUGUUGGAGAAAGGGGGUGCAGCAGGAUUAAAUUUAGGUGUGUUAUAGAGGAAGUAUUUUGGACCUCCCGUUACGUUAUCCGUUGUAAACAAAGAUGGGGACAAUUUUGUCAUUUGCUAGAAAGAAUCCACAACCUAUUAGUUUAGAAAAUACAAAUAGUACUAACAAUAGGAGGAAUCCAACCUACCCUACAAGCGAUAUUUGUAAUUUGGUAUCUAUACAAUUCUGAAAGACAAAAAACUGGAUAUUAAUUAAUUACCAGUGCGUUUACAUGUGCAUUGCACUUUUUCUUUAUAAUUAAAGGUGG